ensembl:lncRNA
CUGGGAUUGGCUUCUACUAUUGUGAAAUGAGCUCUAAAAGUCCCUAAAACUAGACAUGAAGUGGCUGAGUGGUCCCUGUGGUCUUCAGAUAUCUCUGAAGCCACUACCUAAAAAUGGUCAUUAUUAGCGUACAGAAUGCACGAGCAUCAACAAAACGAGUCCACCACAGACCCAAUUUAACGUUUGGGCCACAGAACUACUCAGUCCGAUAACGGAAGGAAAGGAAGCUUGCUUUGGUGUAAAUUAUUCCACAUGUAUGCUAAUAACAACUUUUGAUAUGACUGAUUUGUGGGGCUACAAUGUCACAAACAACAGAUAGAAACGGACCUUGCUAUCUUGCCAUGUUUGUUGAAUAUGGAUUAAUGUCAGCAAAGUCGAUGCUGUUUCAUUCAAAGCCUCUCAGCCAGAGUCCCCGUGUCCCUCCGCACAUUGGCCAAGCCUCAUUACGCUCCCUUCCCAAGCUCCUCGUUGGCUCCCUAAUUAGGCGAGCCAAUGGUGUCACCGGAUCCCGAACAACUCGGGAUCUUCUCCCCGUAGCAGAGACGACAAGCCAUUAGGAAGUUUCAGGCCACGGGGUAUUGCCAUGUUUCACCUUCAAUGUGCCUACGCUGUGUGUGUGUGUGUGUGUGUGUUGAGUGAUUGCCGUGUUGAGCCGGGCGUCACACACAAAGCGCUGUGGAGCUCAGAGGAAGCAGGGUACCACUGUCUAUCUCUGUCACGUAGCCCUGUGUCUACAGCCCCUCUCUAUCUCGCCUCUAAUCCAUCUUCUAUCAUCCUGCCGACCAUCUCCUCCACCCAUCUAUUCAUCAGCCCCUCAUUCAAUGACUCCCUCUGUCCCACCCUCCCCCACGGCCUCCUCUUCCUCCCUCUGAUGUCACAAAUCCAGAUAUGAGGUCCAGUGAUGGCACAUGGCCUCAGACACUGCAGCCUUGUUUGGAGAGGAGUGAUCAGAGGGAUGAGAGCGGGGGGCUGGGGGGGCAACGGGAGGAUGUAAGAUGCAG